ACAAGUAUGGUUCAAAGGUACGAUCUCAGCUUCACGUUCUGGAGGUCCCGGGUUCGAUCCCAGUACUGGCC